GAUGAAGAACGUAGUGAAAUGCGAUACGUAAUGUGAAUUGCAGAAUUCAGUGAAUCAUCGAGUCUUUGAACGCACAUUGCGCCCCCUGGUAUUCCGGGGGGCAUGCCUGUCCGAGCGUCAUUGCUGCCCUCAAGCACGGCUUGUGUGUUGGGCCUCCGUCCUCCUCCCGGGGGACGGGCCCGAAAGGCAGCGGCGGCACCGCGUCCGGUCCUCGAGCGUAUGGGGCUUCGUCACCCGCUCUUGUAGGCCCGGCCGGCGCUUGCCGACACAUCAAUCUUUUUUCCAGGUUGACCUCGGAUCAGGUAGGGAUACCCGCUGAACUUAAGCAUAUCAAAAGCGGAGGA
rnacentral:misc_RNA from 1 species